UGACGUCACCGCACUGUAGCUUCUAGUAGCUUUUCGCAGCGUUUCCACCCGCCGGGCGCGGUGGCGCGUGCCUGUAGUCCCAGCUACUAGGGAGGCUGAGGUGGGAGGAUCGCUUGAGCCCAGGAGUUCUGGGCUGUAGUGCGCUAUGCCGAUCGGGUGUCCGCACUAAGUUCGGCAUCAAUAUGGUGACCUCCCGGGAGCGGGGGACCACCAGGUUGCCUAAGGAGGGGUGAACCGGCCCAGGUCGGAAACGGAGCAGGUCAAAACUCCCGUGCUGAUCAGUAGUGGGAUCGCGCCUGUGAAUAGCCACUGCACUCCAGCCUGGGCAACAUAGCGAGACCCUGUCUCUUUUGCCCUCCUCACUCACUAAGAGUACCUUUCGUUAAAACUCACCAGUUGACGGGAUGCUCGGGGACUUGCAACCACCUCAUCCCUGCCCCCUACCGGCGCAUCUUCAAAACGUCUCUGCGAAAAGCUGUUAUUACCCUCGGAGCCAACAGGGGCUGCUCGUUUACCCACAGCCAGUCGGAAAAAAUGGCCGCCGGACCACAGAGAGCAAAAACAGGGCUAACUUUCCGACGAGAAACCCCACCACUGCCUCCUUAUAAGGGAAAAACUCGUCUCAGAGGAACCCAUAACGUCCUGUGAUGACAGAGGUGAGGGGCCAGCGUGGCAGCAUGCAUCACCUUGUCUCCCUGCUUGCUUCUCUCUCCGUCGGAUUGCCAAAAGUUCACUGCAUUUUGAACCAGGAUAACUGUCAGAGAAGAUCCUCUUUGAAUCGAGCAGAUAUCUCCCCCAUGGCUGCUUCUGGGUCUGCCCUCUGCAACCACGUGGAAUAAGUCUUAUUCCAGUUCUAGAGGACAACUUUUCAAGAAUUAAAAAAAUCACCUCCAAA